CACGUAGGGCGCAAGCGUUGUCCGGAAUUAUUGGGCGUAAAGAGCUCGUAGGCGGUCUGUUACGUCUGCUGUGAAAACCCGGGGCUUAACCCUGGGCUUGCAGUGGAUACGGGCAGACUAGAGGCAGGUAGGGGAGAAUGGAAUUCCCGGUGUAGCGGUGAAAUGCGCAGAUAUCAGGAGGAACACCAGCGGCGAAGGCGGCGCUCUGGGCCGGAACUGACGCUGAGGAGCGAAAGCGUGGGUAGCAAACAGG
rnacentral:rRNA from 1 species